rnacentral:sRNA from 1 species
GCCAGGCAUGGUGUCAUGUGCCUGUAAUCUUAGUGGCUUGGGAGGCUGAGGCAGGAGGAUUGCAGGUUCAAAGCCAGCCUCAGCACAAGCAAGGCACUAAGCAACUCAGGGAGACCCUGUCUCUA